UUGAAGAGUUUGAUCAUGGCUCAGGAUGAACGCUAGCGACAGGCCUAACACAUGCAAGUCGAGGGGCAUCGGGGCGAGGAGCAAUCCUUGCCGCCGGCGACCGGCGCACGGGUGAGUAACGCGUAUGCGACCUGCCCGUUGCAGGGGGAUAAUCGGGAGAAAUCCCGUCUAAUACCGCGUAAUGCCGCGGGGCUGCAUGGCCCUGCGGCCAAAGGGAGCGAUUCCGGCAACGGAUGGGCAUGCGUGACAUUAGCUAGUUGGCGGGGCAACGGCCCACCAAGGCGACGAUGUCUAGGGGUUCUGAGAGGAAGGUCCCCCACACUGGUACUGAGACACGGACCAGACUCCUACGGGAGGCAGCAGUGAGGAAUAUUGGUCAAUGGGCGCGAGCCUGAACCAGCCAAGUCGCGUGAGGGAUGACGGCCCUACGGGUUGUAAACCUCUUUUGUCGGGGAGCAAAUUCCGUUACGUGUAACGGAGUCGAGAGUACCCGAAGAAAAAGCAUCGGCUAACUCCGUGCCAGCAGCCGCGGUAAUACGGAGGAUGCGAGCGUUAUCCGGAUUUAUUGGGUUUAAAGGGUGCGUAGGCGGACUGUCAAGUCAGCGGUAAAAUACGGGGGCUCAACCUCCGCCCGCCGUUGAAACUGACGGUCUUGAGUGGGCGAGAAGUAUGCGGAAUGCGUGGUGUAGCGGUGAAAUGCAUAGAUAUCACGCAGAACUCCGAUUGCGAAGGCAGCAUACCGGCGCCCAACUGACGCUGAAGCACGAAAGCGUGGGUAUCGAACAGGAUUAGAUACCCUGGUAGUCCACGCAGUAAACGAUGAAUACUAGCUGUCCGGGGCGAAUGAGCCCUGGGUGGCACAGCGAAAGCGUUAAGUAUUCCACCUGGGGAGUACGCCGGCAACGGUGAAACUCAAAGGAAUUGACGGGGGCCCGCACAAGCGGAGGAACAUGUGGUUUAAUUCGAUGAUACGCGAGGAACCUUACCCGGGCUCAAACGACACAGGAACGUACCUGAAAGGGUUCGGCUCUACGGAGCCUGUGUCGAGGUGCUGCAUGGUUGUCGUCAGCUCGUGCCGUGAGGUGUCGGCUUAAGUGCCAUAACGAGCGCAACCCCCAUCGACAGUUGCUAACAGGUCAGGCUGAGGACUCUGUCGAGACUGCCGGCGCAAGCUGCGAGGAAGGCGGGGAUGACGUCAAAUCAGCACGGCCCUUACGUCCGGGGCGACACACGUGUUACAAUGGCAGGUACAGCGGGAAGCCACCUGGCGACAGGGAGCGGAACCCGAAAGCCUGUCUCAGUUCGGAUUGGAGUCUGCAACCCGACUCCAUGAAGCUGGAUUCGCUAGUAAUCGCGCAUCAGCCACGGCGCGGUGAAUACGUUCCCGGGCCUUGUACACACCGCCCGUCAAGCCAUGGAAGCCGGGGGUGCCUGAAGUGCGCUGCCGCGAGGAGCGCCCUAGGGUAAAACCGGUGACUGGGGCUAAGUCGUAACAAGGUAACC
rnacentral:rRNA from 1 species